GGCUAUUGUUUCUCAUCAUUUUUCAGUUUCAAACCCAUUAGCUGCAAAAAGAGAUGCCUUACAGAGCACUGCUAUUUUGGGCUUUGGAUGUGAAACCAACAGAAAUUCUCUUGAAGCCAUGGUGAAGAGCACAGGAAAAGAAUCAUUACAAUGGGGUAAAUG